UACAGAGGGUGCGAGCGUUGAUCGGAAUUACUGGGCGUAAAGCGUGCGUAGACGGUUAUUUAAGUCGGGUGUGAAAGCCCCGGGCUCAACCUGGGAAUUGCAUUCGAGACUGAAUAGCUAGGGUACGGUAGAGGGAAGUGGAAUUUCCGGUGUAGCGGUGAAAUGCGUAGAUAUCGGAAGGAACAUCAGUGGCGAAAGCGACUUCCUGGACCAGUACCGACGUUCAGGCACGAAAGCGUGGGGAGCAAACAGG
rnacentral:rRNA from 1 species